rnacentral:rRNA from 1 species
UACGGAGGGUGCAAGCGUUGUUCGGAAUCAUUGGGCGUAAAGCGCGUGUAGGCGGCUUGGCAAGUCGGUUGUGAAAGCCCGGGGCCCAACCCCGGAACUGCAUCUGAAACUGCCUGGCUAGAGUCCCGGAGAGGAAGGCAGAAUUCCCGGUGUAGGGGUGAAAUCCGUAGAUAUCGGGAGGAACACCAGUGGCGAAGGCGACUACCUGGCCUGUUCUUGACGCUGAGGCGCGAAAGCUAGGGGAGCAAACGGG